UAUGGUGAUGUUCUGUAUUAAAGUUAAGCGCACCUAACUUUUUUUUCAUGUUGCUGUUAAAAUUCAAAGAAGGUGAAUAUAGUCAAAAUACAAUAAUCCCCCCAACCCCACCCCAAACUGAUGUGAAACAAUUUAUUAAUGAUGUCAGGGAGUCCUAAAUGAUUGAGUGUUCAUCAUCACCGCCCUCCUCCUCCUCCUCCACCUCCUGGUCGUCAUCAUCAGAUCAGACUGUCAUGCUGCAUCCUUGGUACGUGCACAGCCACACUCAGCUCAUGGCAACACUGUACACAAGUGAGCCGAGUUCAACCACUUCGCACUGUAGGGGUAGGGGCGUCGUUUGUCAAUGCAGACUUCGGGCGCACAUAUCCCACCUCCCGUGGCAUCUGUCGCAUCGCGCGGCGUCUAUUUAAGGGUAAAGAAACCUGUGUCGCAUCGAAGUUUGCGAUAAAUAAUCAGUCAGGACAGGAAACCGUUGGCGGGUGAAUGGUUCAUUCCUAAUGUACGACGUGCAAAACUGAACGCGCCGCACCCCAACUAUAACUCUAAUAAUCGACUGAACUUGCUGGCCUCGCAAAACCCGCCUUCCCAGCGUUUUAAUUGGUCAACUCUCGCUGAUGGGCGGCUCGUGCAACUCCACCGGGGCAGCCCAUUGGUCGCGCGCGACGCCACUUUCCUUUCCAAUUUGCAUAACCAGGUCGGGUUGCAGAUGCAGGGGAGUGUGCAGGGGAAGGGGUAGUGCAAGUGAACUGAACUUCUGCGUCGGUGUAGGCUAUACUAUAUUCCUAAAUGCACCUAACUUUAAUCAGGCAGUGUGAUUUCUUUCAGAGAAAAAACAAUCUGGGUGUUCGGAGAGAUGGUAGACGGGGUGGUAUGGGUGGAAAUGGAAGAUUUUUUCUUUAAAAAUUAUUCCAAAAGAAAACUUGGGACUGAUUGUGUCCGCUUUAAGGUUGUCAGUGUGUCUGAGAUCUAAAAGCAGGUAAGCCACUGACUAACGCACAUUGAGCCAGUUGCCACUUCCACUGUGCGUGUGACAGCGGCUAACCUGUUUUUUGGGAGUACCUCUCAUGUUUUGGCUCGCCCGAGACCAGCCACAGCCGGACCAGACAAGACUCCUACAUAUGUAGAGUACAAGCAGUCCUCGAUCAUGUACCGUGCACAUUUGCUGGGACAGGGCCUGCUCGACAUGCCUGCCCUCCCAGUGGUCUCCAUGCGUACUACCUCCUUCUAUGCUCACACACUGUACCUUAUAUAGGGCCAGUAGCUUUUGCAUCGUCUCCUAUGGAGUCGACCUCUCUAAUGCCACCUACUGUCAAGACUAUUGGUGAGUUUUUUUGUUUCAGUUUCUGUUUCAUCUGUGCGGUUCAGACAAGAUAAUCAUUCUCAUAAUGACUGGCUUCCAAUUUGAGGUCAGGGGCCCUCCAGGGGUUCUGGAGGAGGACACUGAGCUUGUUUUUUUGAGAGGAAAAUGGGUAGAGAUAAUAAUACAGCAAUGUUUCCACCCCUUUAUAUUACUUUUCUAGUUAGUUACUUAGCCUUACAGUAGCACAAAUUUCAGCUCUAAGUAAGAAAACCCAGAUCAGCUGUAUCCAUGGUAUAUGUUUGUAAAAAGUGUCCUUAAAGUCAGAAGUAAAGUUUCUACUCAAAUCA